CCCACUCAGCAAGGCUUUGGGUGCUGCCUAUAACCUCUCUGGAAAACGCCUGUUGCUGUGUCUGAUCAUCUUCUAUGCUACGGUGACCAGCAGAGCACUACAGCUUCCUGUGUACAAGUCAAUCGUCGAAUCAUAGAAUGGUUUGGGUUGGAAGAGACCUGUAAGGAUCGUCUAGUCCAACCCCCCCUGCCAUGAGCACAGGACAGGCAGGGAGAAGUGAGUGAUGACAAACAAUCAGUAUAGAGUAAAACAUCAUCCACAGCCACACUGUCAUCUGGGUUUCAUGGCUGUAACCUUGCUUGUGCCUUACCUAUAGGAAUGGCAACACUACUGGAGAAGUAAAUGAAAAGAACAGACUUCUUCAGAGACUGUGGUCAUUUGUUCAUCAACCUGCAUUGGAGAAAAAUCAAGAGUGGCUUCCCAGCUGUUCCUGAAUACACACAAUAACCCACUCAAGAGGAAGAAGAUCAGAAAACAUGAGAAAAUAAAUUAAUGUGAAUUUCUUAUUUGAUCAGCCCACCUCACACCAGAAUGCAUGAAAAUGUAGCCUCACAGCAGUCCUGACAGCCAGGGAAAUACCAACGUGCAUGCUUCACAGGUGGGGAGAUUAAGGAGAAACUGGAGGCACGUGACUUACUGGGAUCACAGAAGGUCAGACCUGAAAGUACAUUCUUUCUGCUCAGAAGGAGGUGCCACCUGCCUCAUCAGUGCUCUGCAGGCUGCCAGGCCCCUUUCAGAUCUAACCUUGAAGUGAUGAAGGCAUGGAUAAUUAGUUCUGCAGCCAAAAUGAGUGGACACAAAGUGUACUUGGAGCAAAUGCUGUGAAAGAAAAUAUUCACAUAAAUACUGCAGCAUCCAGCAGCAGACUGGGAUACAAAAUUGCUCACAGAUGAAGAAAGAAUACUAGCAGUAAAGAGCAGAUGUGUCCUCUCCAAAGAAACAGCAAGUAUAAUACUCACAACUUAUCAGAGACUUUCCUAACCUACAGACUUUCAGCACAUCUUUGCCUGCAAUGAAUGCCAGCUAGGCAAUGGCCAUCUCUGCCCCUUUUCCCUGUCCUAGAGGACUAACUGGGGUGAAGGAGAUAAAGCACAAGGAAUGUGAUAGCCACUGUCGUCUUAUUAAUCCCCCAGUGGCCCUGCAGAGGCUGUUAGCAGGGGAGGAACUUCCAAAACAGCACAUAGAAAAGUCCUCAGCAGUUCAAGCUGCUUAAGCUAAUUUAUCAUCAUAAUUAAGUACAGGUGAUCCAGUUGUAUUUUAUCUUAAUUGUUCACAGGACUGGAAUCUUCUUCUGCAGAGACAGCUCUGGGAGAGAAUCUGUGUUUUAGUCUGACUCUAGGCUAUUAAACAGGCACCUUUUAGUUAUAUGUUUUGGCAAACUUGGCUGUAUUUUCCUUUGUGUGAAUAAUGGUAUUACUGAUGGUCAUUAUAUCCAGUGUCAGAGUCACAGCAUGUAACUCAUACACACUAUUAGCACUGGAGUUAUGCCAAGGCCCACCAGAGUUGAGUCUUAACCGUUCAGGUGGGUGGCUAACAUCACUUGCUGUGAACGGAGACAAAAUAGAAGUAGUUACUCCCUGGCAACACUUAAGGCUUCUUAAAGCUGAAUUAAAAUACAGAACAAGUCAGAUUCAAAGUUAAUCUGGAAAGGCAGAAUUACACUUCUUGGACAGAAUAAUUUGUAACUGAUUACAUUUACAGAGUUAUUUAAAUGAUCUUGUCCAUGACAAAUUUCAAAUUGUAGACUAACUCGCUACCACGUAUCGAUGACACCUCUGUAAAUUCUGUAAUGACAUGCAAUUUGCAUUGAAGUCCCAGGAGAUACCUAUAAAGACUAGUCAAAUAUCAGCAAUUAGCAGAGCAAUAUAUCAGGUAAAGAGAAAUUCUGUUCUCGUGUAGCUAUUUCUUAAGGCUAAAUACUGAAGUCUUUGUAAACCUGCAAUGUCCAUCGAUCACAGAAUUAUAUAAGCAUAAGCAUUUAAGGGUGGGAACAUUUCUGCCCUCUGGGAAACAUUAACACGGUCAAGACACAAGCCAGCCUCAUUCAUUUAAACUUGGUUUCAAAUGUACUUCAAGCCUUAGCAAUACAAAAGAAAAUAGGAUUUCGCAGUAUUUGAAAAACGGUAGUUCUAGGAAAGCUUAUAUAAUUAAGAACAUUUUGUGAUAUGUUUAUACAACUUGACUGCGUAUUAAUAAGUCCUGAUAUUUUUAUUACUUAACAGCAGUACGAAUUCAGUCUUUAUGGUCAAUGACACACUCACCUCCCCAGUGCUCGUCACACACUGUGAACAAGGUGGUUUUAUUGGCUAAUCCUGGGAACACACUGCUGCACUCCAUAACAAUAGCCUGAGGAAUCAUUAUGAUGCAGGACACAAUCCAGAUAAUUAUAAUGCUGUUCCUUGCUCGCUUGGCUGUGCUUUUAAACAUCAAAGGGUGACAAAUUGCAUACCAUCGAUCCAAAGCAAUGCAGCUGAGUGUCAGUACAGACACAGAGACUGAAACUGUCUAAAGAAAAGGAAAUAUUAUGUAAGUGUAAAUUUAAUUUUUUCAGAACUUUAAAAAUUAUUUAUUGCUAUUUUUCCCAGUUUUAAAAAUUAUUUUUAAACAUACUUAGCUCUUUAUCUGCAAUUAUUAAAUAGACAUUAUUCCCAGAAAAAGACUCCUUUUAAAAUCACUUCUUACAGAAUUACAACAGCUAUCUUCAUCUGCUCUAGUCCCACUAGAAUCAACAGGACAAUUCACAGAUUAGGAUGCUACCCAAACUGAGUAGGUGUAGCAAGGUCACGUUCUGAAAGAGCAAAUUUUUGCAACAGAAUUUGUAAAACUUUAUUUGAAAAACUACUUUUAAAACAUUAGACAACUAGACUUUAGACAACUAAUCUUUUUUUCUUUGUGUAACAAUUUUCUUUGUCUGUUUUCUAUGUUAUAUUUGGAUACUAGUACCAUCAUUUUGCCUUUCCAGUGUUCACAGGAACAAUGGAAAUUCAGGGUCUCAUGAAAAAGAAACCCAGCAACAAUCAGCUUAAGGCAGACUAAAAGGAAGAAGAGUUUUUCCCUGCAGUAAUGUUUCACCUAUGUAAAGAUCAUUAUUACACCUUUCCUCAGUUUUGUUUUUGGACUGUGCACCUCCAGAAGUCUUUAUCUUUUACUGCUGGUCAUUUCUAGAACUUCUACAACUAUCCUUGUUGCUGUUAUCUGGACACUCUUCAGAUGGGAUUGCACCUUUGUUGUCAGAGUGGCAUACUCCUUCAAGACCUCACUAGAGCUUUAAAAGGAGCUGAGAUUGGAGCACUUCUUCUGGAGGGCUAUGUUUAGACAUUUAGAGGUAAUUUAGGACAAAGAGAGAGGGAGAGGCCAGGUGGCCUUCGUUUCUCUAAGAAGAGGUGAUUUUAUCAACUACCUUUUUAGGAUGUAGGCUUCCAAAUUUAAUAUAAAACCUCUGUUGUGCCACAAUAGAUGUCCUUCAUAUCUUUUAAUGGGUUGCAGACAUGACUCCAAAUUCUAAAGCUUGUAUGAAUUUAAUCUUCGAUAUAUACCUAUCACAUGCAAUUCAAAACCCCUCCACAAAGCUUUUCAUUGUUCUUGGACUGUUUUUGGAGAGAAUCUCCCACCUUAUCCAUUUCUUCUAUUGUUUUCUCCCUGGAUAUAGAAUUUCAGGUUCUCUUAACUGUGGCCUCAGAUAUCUGAAAGGCAAGGCUUAUAAAUCAAAACCUUACAAGAAACAUAUUUAUCAUAUUUACUCCCCAUUUGGGUGAUUGAAGUUACCUACUGAAGUUAUUAUUUCUGUAGCCCUGCAUGAUAAUUACAACAUAACUAUCCAGAGCGUUAGCAUUGUCACUUGGUACAUGGCAUUACUACAGUUAUAACUUACAUUGUGGCAAUGCAGAGGCAGCACCUAACAGGGAAGAUAAUACAUUGCUGCCCCUCUGGAAUGUUGCUUGUAGUUGGAAAUGCAAUGCUGAGGAAAAAAAAAACCUGCAAAAGCCAUUUCACUUUCAAUUUUAACACUUUGGGCUUUUAUUUAUGGCUUCUUCUUUGUCCUGAAUGCAAUUCAUACUGGAAGUAUGGUCCUGUCUUGUACUCAGGCAAAAGUUAAUAUUAAGUGGCAAUGAUUUCUGUACUUUUUAUUUCUUUUAUUAUUAGGAAAAAGUUAAAUAAAAUGUUUUAAAUGUCAGCAGUCAGCUA